CGCAGGGNAUGGGUUAAGUCCCGUACGGAGCGCACCCCUUGUCCCUAAGUUGCCAGCACGUAAUGGCUGGGAACUCUAGGGAGACUGCCGGUGACAAACCGGAGGAAGGUGGGGACGACGUCAAGUCAUCAUGGCCCUUACGGCCUGGGCUACACACGUGCUACAAUGGGCAGUACAGAGGGCAGCAAAGUCGCGAGGCCAAGCAAAUCCCUAAAACUGUUCGUAGUCCGGAUUGGAGUCUGCAACUCGACUCCUUGAAGUCGGAAUCGCUAGUAAUCGCGGAUCAGAAUGCCGCGGUGAAUACGUUCCCGGGCCUUGUACACACCGCCCGUAANACCGGCGG
rnacentral:rRNA from 1 species